rnacentral:rRNA from 1 species
GACGAACGCUGGCGGCGUGCCUAAUACAUGCAAGUAGAACGCAGUUGCGAACGGGUGAGUAACGCGUAGGUAACUGCCUCAUAGCGGGGGAUAACUAUUGGAAACGAUAGCUAAUACCGCAUACUGUGAGAUGGACCUGCGUUGUAUUAGCUAGUUGGUGUGGUAAAGGCUCACCAAGGCGACGAUACAUAGCCGACCUGGGAGGGGUGGCGGCCCAUCUGGGACUGAGACACGGCCCAGACUCGUCCGGUGUGCAGCAGCAGGGAAUCGUCGGCAAUGGGCGGAAGUCUGGCCGAGGAACGCCGCGUGAGUGCAGAAAGUUUUUGGAUCGUAAAGCCCUGUUGGUAGAGGAGCGGUAACUAAACAGAAAGGACCGGCUCACUACGCGACAGCAGCCGCGGUAAUUC